rnacentral:rRNA from 1 species
UACGAAAGGGAUGAGCGUCACUCAUCUUAAAUGGGUGUAAAGAGUAUGUAGGCGGUAAAAUUUAUUUCUACAAAAAAGAUAAAAAAUCUAAAAAGUAAGAAUACGCAAAGUAAAAUUUUUUUUACUAGAGUGAAAUAGAGGAAAGAGGAAUUUCAAGUGAAGGAUAAAAUCUUUAAAUAUUUAAAAGAAACUUCUAAGGCGAAGGCUUCUUUCUAAUUAAUCACUGACGCUAAAUACGAAAGUGUGGGUAGCAAAGAGG